rnacentral:pre_miRNA from 1 species
UUAACUCGAAUUAUGGUAUGGAGUUGGAACGUUUACCUAGGUUUGCCGCUUGGGGCGGUGUUCCAAUUGUAUAUAAAUUUGAGUUA